rnacentral:rRNA from 1 species
AUUGAACGCUGGCGGCAGGCCUAACACAUGCAAGUCGAGCGGAUGAAGGGAGCUUGCUCCUGGAUUCAGCGGCGGACGGGUGAGUAAUGCCUAGGAAUCUGCCCGGUAGUGGGGGAUAACGUCCGGAAACGGGCGCUAAUACCGCAUACGUCCUGAGGGAGAAAGUGGGGGAUCUUCGGACCUCACGCUAUCAGAUGAGCCUAGGUCGGAUUAGCUAGUUGGUGGGGUAAAGGCCUACCAAGGCGACGAUCCGUAACUAGUCUGAGAGGAUGAUCAGUCACACUGGAACUGAGACACGGUCCAGACUCCUACGGGAGGCAGCAGUGGGGAAUAUUGGACAAUGGGCGAAAGCCUGAUCCAGCCAUGCCGCGUGUGUGAAGAAGGUCUUCGGAUUGUAAAGCACUUUAAGUUGGGAGGAAGGGCAGUAAGUUAAUACCUUGCUGUUUUGACGUUACCAACAGAAUAAGCACCGGCUAACUUCGUG